CGAGGCGGCGGCGGGCACCGGAGCGGCCGCGAACGGCAGUGCCUGGUGGGCCCGGGAGCGAGCCGCAGCUGGCAGGGAGCGAAAACACUCCCCGGUCACAAGGGGCCAUUGUUCCCCUGGCACAGGCGAUGGCAGACGGGCACUGGGGGUGCCGGUCGCUUCCCGCCUCGGCAAGAGGAGGGGCGGCUGGCAGGCUGCCCAGGUUGUGCUGGAGGCAGCAGAGGACUGGGGAAAAGGGAAGAAGGCGCUCAGCAGGCGGCCAGGAGGCAGUGAGUGAAGGGCAAAAUGGAAACGCAAUGAAUGGCACCGCUGCCCUUAAACUCCACCUUCCCCUGCCCGCCGCCGGCCGCUGCCGGGCAGCCCCCCCACCGUCACCCUUAGCACACUGCAGCCGAGGGGGCAGCCACGGUGGAAGCAUUUGAAAAGCAAACUCUGUGUCACGUGGGGAAGGUAAAUAAACAGUAUGCUGAAAAA